rnacentral:rRNA from 1 species
ACGCUCGACACCUACGGGAGGUAGCAGUUGGGAAUAUUGGACAAUGGAGGAAACUCUGAUCCAGUGACGCCGCGUGAAGGAAGAAGGUCUUCGGAUUGUAAACUUAUUUUGUCAGGGAAGAAAAAUGACUGUACCUGAAGAAAAAGCACCGGCUAACUACGUGCCAACAGCCGCGGUAAUCUGAGCGGGCUGGCAAGGC